GCUCAGAGCGAACGCUGGCGGCAGGCUUAACACAUGCAAGUCGAGCGGGCAUAGCAAUAUGUCAGCGGCAGACGGGUGAGUAACGCGUGGGAACGUACCUUUUGGUUCGGAACAACACAGGGAAACUUGUGCUAAUACCGGAUAAGCCCUUACGGGGAAAGAUUUAUCGCCGAAAGAUCGGCCCGCGUCUGAUUAGCUAGUUGGUGGGGUAAUGGCCCACCAAGGCGACGAUCAGUAGCUGGUCUGAGAGGAUGAUCAGCCACAUUGGGACUGAGACACGGCCCAAACUCCUACGGGAGGCAGCAGUGGGGAAUAUUGGACAAUGGGCGCAAGCCUGAUCCAGCCAUGCCGCGUGAGUGAUGAAGGCCCUAGGGUUGUAAAGCUCUUUUGUGCGGGAAGAUAAUGACGGUACCGCAAGAAUAAGCCCCGGCUAACUUCGUGCCAGCAGCCGCGGUAAUACGAAGGGGGCUAGCGUUGCUCGGAAUCACUGGGCGUAAAGGGUGCGUAGGCGGGUCUUUAAGUCAGGGGUGAAAUCCUGGAGCUCAACUCCAGAACUGCCUUUGAUACCGAAGAUCUUGAGUUCGAUCUUGAGUUCGGGAGAGGUGAGUGGAUCUCCGAGUGUAGAGGUGAAAUUCGUAGAUAUUCGCAAGAACCCCAGUGGCGAAGGCGGCUCACUGGCCCGAUACUGACGUUGAGGCACGAAAGCGUGGGGAGCAAACAGGAUUAGAUCCCCUGGUAGUCCACCCCGUAAACGUUGAAUGCCAGCCGUUAGUGGGUUUACUCACUAGUGGCGCAGCUA
rnacentral:rRNA from 1 species